rnacentral:tRNA from 1 species
GCAGUGGUGGCUCAGUGGUAGAAUUCUCACCUUCCAUGCAGGAGACCUGGGUUUGAUUCCCAGCCUAUGUA